GAUGAACGCUGGCGGCGUGCCUAAUACAUGCCAGUCGAGCGAACAGACGAGGAGCUUGCUCCUCUGACGUUAGCGGCGGACGGGUGAGUAACACGUGGAUAACCUACCUAUAAGACUGGGAUAACUUCGGGAAACCGGAGCUAAUACCGGAUAAUAUAUUGAACCGCAUGGUUCAAUAGUGAAAGACGGUUUUGCUGUCACUUAUAGAUGGAUCCGCGCCGCAUUAGCUAGUUGGUAAGGUAACGGCUUACCAAGGCAACGAUGCGUAGCCGACCUGAGAGGGUGAUCGGCCACACUGGAACUGAGACACGGUCCAGACUCCUACGGGAGGCAGCAGUAGGGAAUCUUCCGCAAUGGGCGAAAGCCUGACGGAGCAGCGCCGCGUGAGUGAUGAAGGUCUGCGGAUCGUAAAACGCUGUUAUUAGGGAAGAACAAAUGUGUAAGUAACUAUGCACGUCUGGACGGUACCUAAUCAGAAAGCCACGGCUAACUACGU
rnacentral:rRNA from 1 species